GACAUAAAUAAAUAAGCACUAGACCUUGGCAUCAACUAUCACCCCCCCCCCCAAUUCACUGAAUAUAUUUUCUUAUUUGUUCUUGAAGAUGGCAUAAUACUACUUGAUUUUAUUGAAGGAACAAUAAAUUACAAUAACGUCUGCGGUGCUAUACAUUUAUAGAACUGUAAACUAAAAGUCAUCCAUCACCAUCAGGCAUGACAGUUAUGAUACUGUAGUCUCCUCCAGUACCCUCUGACUCUUCUUAGUUCUAGAUUCUCUUUAUAUUCAACCACCAUUUAGGAUUACAUUCUUCUCCUUUCUUUCCACUUUGGGGUCUCCCUCUCCUCUUGUAAUUAUUGACAUACAGCAGUUCAGGUAUCCCCCAAUUUACAAUAUUCUGCUCUUAUGAUUGUGAUGUAUUAAGACCAUCCCCAUAUUUACGAUGUAAACUAUUCCCGUGAACUAUGGUCAUCGUCUGAGCCAGCGCGGAAUAUGGAACCCAUCUCUCACUUCAAUUGUCAGCUGUGGUCUACCCGAGCACCACCAAACAGCCACCCGGUGCAGUACAGUACCAAGCUCUGUUCCAAGGUGAUUCCACAUGGCCGUGAUCAUAUAACUAUGAUUAUUGGUCAGUAUUGGUGUCGUUACUUAUCUUUUUCUUUUACCUUACAGUGAGAGGGCAUCAUUAAUGUUCACAUUGUGACAAGUGCUUUUGUUCUGUUUUUGUGACUGAAGUGUGCUGUGUGACUUUGAAAAUGUUUGGGAAUGCCAAGGCACCCAGGAAUAUGGUGUCUCUGGAGGUAAAACUUGUCAUUGUAAAACUGUGUGGGAGUCAGUGAUGUCUCCACUCUACCUUCUAGAGUCCCCUUACCAUUGAAGGGGACAUCUAAUGUCAAUCAGGCUUGUUUUUCAUGAUGUGGUGAGUGUUGUGGGACUUUGAUAUAUGUGGGACUGUGGGUGUCCAACUGGUUGAGAACAUAUCUCACUGAACCCCAUUUUAUAAUGUCCCAAUUUAUGAUAUUUCAACUAGCGAUGGGUUUUCAGGAAUGUAAUCCCAUUGUAAAUUGGGGAUAAGUGUACUGUACUUAAGUUUCCAUUCAUCUUUAUCCUAUCUGCUCUGUAUACACUAGCAUGUUGAAACAAUUUUACCACUUAUUUUAUCAACCAUUCCUCUCCUCUCUUAAUGAGGCAUCCCUGUGACCUUGACAAUACCAACCAACCACUGAUCUUACUGUACAGCUCCUCCUCAGUAGAUACCUCUCCACAGCUAGGAAUUUCUGUACAGUAUAUCACUUACCUAUUGACAUUAUACAUUGUAACCAUAAUUUAUAUGACCAAUUUUAAAAUUUAAUAACCUAAAAAAUAUCCUAGGUAGAACAUGGUGUACUAUCGUGGACAAAAGUUCGCUCCCUGUAGUGAAAUUGAGACACGGGAAUGAAUCUCCGAACUGACUUACCCUGAUUGUUAUCUGGUGCGGGUGUGGGUCGAUACUGCUUCAGUUUGGGAAGGAGCGAACUUUUGUCCAUGAUAGUACAUGCAAAAGUCUAAUAAGGUAAAAAAAAAAAAAAAGUACAAUUAAACUCGCUAAUUUUAAAAUGAGACAUACUGUACUGCAUACAGGUAUCCCCUGAUUCACAAUCUCCCUAUCUACGAUAUUUCACUUGAACAAUGGUGAUGUAUUCAGAUCAACCCCCCCUACUUACAAUUAAAAAAAAGUUCGCAUGAACGAUGGUCAUUGUCCGCCCAAAAUCGCUGACGCGUGGACUAUGAAAUGCAUCUCUCGCUGCACUUGUCAGUUGUGGUCUACCCGCACACCACUAUGCUUGCAUCUGGUGCACUACAGUCCCAAGUUUUGUCCCAUGGUGAUCGCACACACCCAUGAUCGUGUAACUCAAAGAUUUUUGGUCAAUAUCGGUGUUGUUACUUAUUAUUUUUAUUUAUUUUUUACCUUCCAGUGAGAGGUCAUCACUAAUAUUCACUUUGUACUCUGUUUUUGUGACUGUGAAGUGAGCAGUGUAACUUUGAAAAUGUCUGGGAAGGCCAAGGUCCCCAGGAAAACUUGAUUCUCUAGAGGUACAGCUUGACAUUGUGAAGCUGUGUGGGAGUCAGUGAUGUCUCCACUCCACCUUCAAGAGUCCCCUUAGCCUUAAAGGGACAUGUGAUGAUGACCAGGCUUGUUAUUAAUCAUGUGAUGUGGUACUUGCAAGACACUUCAAUCCAGGAGAAGACGAACAUUCAAAUUCCAGUUUCUGCACAGCCUCUGGAGUAGUUGCCAACAGACUGUUUCCCUGAAAACAUAAAACACCAUACAGUAAUUAUAUGGAAAACUCAUCAGUUACAGCAGUCAGAUAGACUGAAUGACAGCUACUGUUGGAAAUGUCUACAAGGCGUAAGAAAAGAUUUGUCUACAGAAAAAGACAAGUUUUAUAGGGUGCUAGGACAAUUUGUCGCGGGUCAACUCGUUAUCGGCAAAUUUAAUAUGAAUGGUUUACAAUUUGAACCUAGCUUAACCUAACAUUCAUAGAGUGCCUUGUGUUAUCUAUUUCUGGCUAUAUUUUGUUGAGUAGUGACCGUGUUAUCUUGCGAUUAUUUCUUGAUUGUCCGAGUAAAGAUAUAACCUCU